CCUACGGGAGGCUGCAGUGGGGAAUAUUGCGCAAUGGGCGAAAGCCUGACGCAGCGACGCCGCGUGAGGGAUGAAGGUUUUCGGAUCGUAAACCUCUGUCGGAAGGGAAGAAGGUGCACUCUGCUAAUCAGGGGUGUAUUGACGGUACCUUCAAAGGAAGCACCGGCUAACUCCGUGCCAGCAGCCGCGGUAAUACGGAGGGUGCGAGCGUUAAUCGGAAUUACUGGGCGUAAAGCGCACGUAGGCUGUCAUGUAAGUCAGGGGUGAAAUCCCACGGCUCAACCGUGGAACUGCCCUUGAUACUGCGUGACUUGAAUCCGGGAGAGGGUGGCGGAAUUCCAGGUGUAGGAGUGAAAUCCGUAGAUAUCUGGAGGAACAUCAGUGGCGAAGGCGGCCACCUGGACCGGUAUUGACGCUGAGGUGCGAAAGCGUGGGGAGCAAACAGGAUUAGAUACCCCAGUAGUC
rnacentral:rRNA from 1 species